GAGAAAAUGUUUAACUAGUUGGUC
rnacentral:siRNA from 1 species